rnacentral:lncRNA from 1 species
GACAAAAUAUAUACACGAAAUUGGCUUCUUUAAUUCGGUUCCUUAUUGAGAUAUUUUAUCAAACACAUAGAAUGCAUACAAAAGAACCACUUUUCUUUUCCCCAAUCUUGUUUGUGACCUAUCCCAAUAUCUCAAACAACAAAAGAAACCAGCAAAAAUAAGAAAAAAUUAAACAACAAAAACAUGGAUUUAAUACGAUUAAAAGCUGAAAAAAAUACCUCAAUGAAAGUGGUAGUUCCUUGGUUAACAUUUUUUAUGAAAUUCCUAGGCCUCAACCGUCCCUUUGUUUUCUUUGUUUGCUUCCUUUCCUCCACUUUUCCUAUCCUAUCUUCUUAUUGGCUUGUGUGUGUGGUUGUUUGUAGUGUGUGUGAGUGUAAAAGGAGAGAGGGAGCCAAGAGGAUUUGGGAGAUUGAAGGAAAAAAAUGUCCUAGUUGUGUUAGUGCAAGUGGGUGUUGUGCUAGUGUGUGUGCAUUUUUGUGUGAGAAUCCGAGAGGAAGAAAGAGAAGGAGGUGUGUUGUGUGUAAUUUUGGGAGAGAGGAGGGCCGAGAGAGGGAGUUGAAGUUGGUGAGUUUUGUUGUGAGAAAAUUUUUGAGAAAGCGGGAAAGAGAUGGCUGAGAGAGAGA